GAUCCUGGCUCAGGAUGAACGCUAGCUACAGGCUUAACACAUGCAAGUCGAGGGGAAACGAUAUUGGAAGCUUGCUUCUGAUAGGCGUCGACCGGCGCACGGGUGAGUAACGCGUAUCCAACCUGCCCAUCACUUGGGGAUAACCUUGUGAAAGUAAGACUAAUACCCAAUGACGUCUCUAGAAGACAUCUGAAAGAGAUUAAAGAGACUCGGUUACAGAUGAACAUGCGUUCCAUUAGCUGGUUGGCGGGGUAACGGCCCACCUAGUCUUCGAUGGAUAGGGGUUCUGAGAGGAAGGUCCCCCACAUUGGAACUGAGACACGGUCCAAACUCCUACGGGAGGCAGCAGUGAGGAAUAUUGGUCAAUGGGCGAGAGCCUGAACCAGCCAAGUAGCGUGAAGGAUGACUGCCCUAUGGGUUGUAAACUUCUUUUAUAAAGGAAUAAAGUCGGGUAUGGAUACCCGUUUGCAUGUACUUUAUGAAUAAGGAUCGGCUAACUCCGUG
rnacentral:rRNA from 1 species